rnacentral:rRNA from 1 species
UGUAUGUUGAAAAAUGCUGGGAUGAGUUGUGGGUAGCGGUGAAAUUCCAAACGAACUUGGAGAUAGCUGGUUCUCUCCGAAAUAGCUUUAGGGUUAGCCUCGGAGGAUGGAUCAUGGAGGUAGAGCACUGUUUGAACUAGGGGCCCAUCAAGGGUUACUGAAUUCAGAUAAACUCCGAAUACCAUCGAUCUUACUCCGGGAGUCAGACAGUGAGCGAUAAGGUCCAUUGUCGAAAGGGGAACAGCCCAGAUCACCAGUUAAGGUCCCUAAAUUUAUGCUAAGUGGAAAAGGAUGUGGCGUUGCACAGACAACUAGGAUGUUGGCUCAGAAGCAGCCACCAUUUAAAGAGUGCGUAAUAGCUCACUAGUCGAGUGGCACUGCGCCGAAAAUAUACCGGGGCUAAGCAUAAUACCGAAACUGUGGGUGCACCCGUAAGGGUGCGCGGUAGGAGAGCGUUCUAAGGGCGUUGAAGGUCGAUCGUGAGGACGGCUGGAGCGCUUAGAAGUGAGAAUGCCGGCAUGAGUAGCGAAAGAUCAGUGAGAAUCUGAUCCACCGUAUGACUAAGGUUUCCUGGGGAAGGCUCGUCCUCCCAGGGUUAGUCGGGAUCUAAGGCGAGGCCGAGAGGCGUAGUCGAUGACAAGCAGGUUGAGAUUCCUGCACUAGUUUAUUUUGUUUAAGCGAUGGAGGGACGCAGGAGGCUAAGGAAAGCGCACGGCUGGAAAUGUGCGCCCAAGCAGCAAGUCUGACAGCGAGUGAAAUGCUUGCAGUCUUAAGGACAAGCUGUGAUGGGGAGCGAAAUUAUAGUAGCGAAGUUCCUGAUGUCACACUGCCAAGAAAAGCUUCUAGUGAGAAAUAAACUACCCGUACCGCAAACCGACACAGGUAGUCGAGGAGAGUAUCCUCAGGUGAGCGAGCGAACUCUCGUUAAGGAACUCGGCAAAAUGACCCCGUAACUUCGGAAGAAGGGGUGCUGACCGCAAGGUCAGCCGCAGUGAAUAGGCCCAAACAACUGUUUAUCAAAAACACAGGUCUCUGCUAAAUCGUAAGAUGAUGUAUAGGGGCUGACGCCUGCCCGGUGCUGGAAGGUUAAGAGGAUGAGUUAGCGCAAGCGAAGCCCAGAAUUGAAGCCCCAGUAAACGGCGGCCGUAACUAUAACGGUCCUAAGGUAGCGAAAUUCCUUGUCGGGUAAGUUCCGACCCGCACGAAAGGCGUAAUGAUUUGGGCACUGUCUCAACGAGAGACUCGGUGAAAUUAUAGUACCCGUGAAGAUGCGGGUUACCCGCGACAGGACGGAAAGACCCCAUGGAGCUUUACUGUAGCUCGAUAUUGAGUGUUGGUACCGCUUGUACAGGAUAGGUAGGAGCCGUAGAGAUCGGAACGCUAGUUUCGAUGGAGGCAUUGGUGGGAUACUACCCUAGCUGUAUGAACACUCUAACCCGCGCCACUAAUCGUGGCGGGAGACAGUGUCAGGUAGGCAGUUUGACUGGGGCGGUCGCCUCCUAAAAUGUAACGGAGGCGCCCAAAGGUUCCCUCAGAAUGGUUGGAAAUCAUUCGCAGAGUGUAAAGGUAUAAGGGAGCUUGACUGCGAGACUGACAAGUCGAGCAGGGACGAAAGUCGGGCUUAGUGAUCCGGUGGUUCCGUAUGGAAGGGCCAUCGCUCAACGGAUAAAAGCUACCCUGGGGAUAACAGGCUUAUCUCCCCCAAGAGUCCACAUCGACGGGGAGGUUUGGCACCUCGAUGUCGGCUCAUCGCAUCCUGGGGCUGUAGUCGGUCCCAAGGGUUGGGCUGUUCGCCCAUUAA